ACUUUCUCAGAGGUAAAUUCUGAAUUAUUCAAUCUUUGAUAUUGUUUCUCUUUCAUAGAAAUACUGAUUAAUACUUGAAACUUAACUAUGUAGAUUGAGAAGGAAAAAAGCAAAGAAAGCUCUUUCAAUAUGCAGACAGUGGCAAAAGAGGAAAAUGUUGAUAAAUUAAAUACACCACUUGGAGGCAUUACUAAUCAGCAAAUGAAAGAAAAGCUUACACUAAGGAAGAAUGACUGUUUAAAAAUGGAGGAUGAAAACACUACGGAAGAGAAAGUCAUCAAGAAUUUUUCACCUGAGGAGAGGUCAGAAAUUAUUAAAAUGCCAAUGAAGUGAAUUUGCCCUGAGUCAUGAUGUUGCAAAGAAAAAUAAAGGACAGACUUUAAAGCAGAAGGCUAAUCAGCAGGUGAGCUCUUCCAGUGGGAAUAAUUUUCGAGUAUCAGAUGAUAGCACUUCC
rnacentral:lncRNA from 12 species